rnacentral:tRNA from 1 species
AUUUAUAUAGUUUAUUAAAAACAUUACAUUUUCAAUGUAAAAAUAAUAACUUUUAUUUAUAAAUU